rnacentral:rRNA from 1 species
CCUGGCUCAGAUUGAACGCUGGCGGCAGGCCUAACACAUGCAAGUCGAACGGUAACAGGAAGAAGCUUGCUUCUUUGCUGACGAGUGGCGGACGGGUGAGUAAUGUCUGGGAAACUGCCUGAUGGAGGGGGAUAACUACUGGAAACGGUAGCUAAUACCGCAUAACGUCGCAAGACCAAAGAGGGGACCUUCGGGCCUCUUGCCAUCGGAUGUGCCCAGAUGGGAUUAGCUAGUAGGUGGGGUAACGGCUCACCUAGGCGACGAUCCCUAGCUGGUCUGAGAGGAUGACCAGCCACACUGGAACUGAGACACGGUCCAGACUCCUACGGGAGGCAGCAGUGGGGAAUAUUGCACAAUGGGCGCAAGCCUGAUGCAGCCAUGCCGCGUGUAUGAAGAAGGCCUUCGGGUUGUAAAGUACUUUCAGGGGGAGGAAGGGAGAAAGUUAAUACCUUUGCUCAUGAACGUUANCCGCAGAAGAAGCACCGGCUAACUCCGUGCCAGCAGCCGCGUAAAUACGGAGGGUGCAAGCGUUAAUCGGAAUUACUGGGCGUAAAGCGCACGCAGGCGGUUUUUAAGUCAGAUGUGAAAUCCCCGGGCUCAACCUGGGAACUGCAUCUGAUACUGGCAAGCUUGAGUCUCGUAGAGGGGGGUAGAAUUCCAGGUGUAGCGGUGAAAUGCGUAGAGAUCUGGAGGAAUACCGGUGGCGAAGGCGGCCCCCUGGACGAAGACUGACGCUCAGGUGCGAAAGCGUGGGGAGCAAACAGGAUUAGAUACCCUGGUAGUCCACGCCGUAAACGAUGUCGACUUGGAGGUUGUGCCCUUGAGGCGUGGCUUCCGGAGCUAACGCGUUAAGUCGACCGCCUGGGGAGUACGGCCGCAAGGUUAAAACUCAAAUGAAUUGACGGGGGCCCGCACAAGCGGUGGAGCAUGUGGUUUAAUUCGAUGCAACGCGAAGAACCUUACCUGGUCUUGACAUCCACAGAACUUUCCAGAGAUGGAUUGGUGCCUUCGGGAACUGUGAGACAGGUGCUGCAUGGCUGUCGUCAGCUCGUGUUGUGAAAUGUUGGGUUAAGUCCCGCAACGAGCGCAACCCUUAUCUUUUGUUGCCAGCGGUCCGGCCGGGAACUCAAAGGAGACUGCCAGUGAUAAACUGGAGGAAGGUGGGGAUGACGUCAAGUCAUCAUGGCCCUUACGACCAGGGCUACACACGUGCUACAAUGGCGCAUACAAAGAGAAGCGACCUCGCGAGAGCAAGCGGACCUCAUAAAGUGCGUCGUAGUCCGGAUUGGAGUCUGCAACUCGACUCCAUGAAGUCGGAAUCGCUAGUAAUCGUGGAUCAGAAUGCCACGGUGAAUACGUUCCCGGGCCUUGCACACAC